rnacentral:rRNA from 1 species
UGGCGGACGGGUGAGUAACGCGUGGAAAACCUGCCGUAUACUGGGGGAUAACACUUAGAAAUAGGUGCUAAUACCGCAUAAGCGCACAGCUUCGCAUGAAGCGGUGUGAAAAACUCUGGUGGUAUACGAUGGUUCCGCGUCUGAUUAGCUAGUUGGUGGGGUAAUGGCCUACCAAGGCAACGAUCAGUAGCCGGCCUGAGAGGGUGAACGGCCACAUUGGGAUUGAGACACGGCCCAAACUCCUACGGGAGGCAGCAG